rnacentral:lncRNA from 1 species
CUCACAGCCUGGUUCCUGGAGCUCCUAGAAGAUAAAUCGAGGGGAACUCAGGCUGCAGACUGCAAGCACAGCCCCAGCACCCCAGUGCUGUCAGGAGGGUGAGCCUGACUCUGUGAGCUCCCCACUAUUUUGUGUGGAUGGUCCUUUCUGUGCUCAUUCAGGGCCCUCAUCUUUCUCCUGGCAGGGCCUGGAUCUGGCCCUUUUGCUGGCCUGAGAAACUUUCAGAUCAAGAGUUUAUAUCCCUGAUAUGGAAGACAAGGAUAUGAAGGGACCCACAUCUGGCCCCACAUGCCCAAGGCCUCCUGGGAAAAAAGCAAUAGCUACACAAAAUGCAAUGGGGCCCACGUGUCCUGUCCUAGGGUGAGAAAAAAGCAAUAGCUACACAAAAUACAUUGGGGCCCAUGUGUCCUGGGCUGACCUGAGGCCACUUCCUUAAUCCAAGGACCUAUCUCCAGGAGACACUGGAAGAGCAAAUGAGGGGAUUCCAUCCACCCACCUUUCCCUGCACUUCCCAUGGCUGACAGAAGGUGCAGGGUGGGGUUCGGUCCUGUGUGUUUGGUGUGGCUCCCUCUGCUGAGCUGAGGACGCCCUUCAGACCCAGGUUGCUACCUCCCUGAGACCCAGGAGGCAGAAGUAAGGAGGCACUACAUGGACAACCCUGCAUGGGAUUCCCACGGCUGACAGAAGUACAAGGAUGCGCCACAUGCAGCCACAGAUCCUGGGACUUCCCAAGGCUGAGAUCUCCACUGAUCUGGAGUCCAAGGACCCCUGAGUCCUCCCUCUUCUUCUUCUCCUUGACUCCUGGCAGGGCUGUUCACCACCCCCCUGCUGACUUGAGUUUCAGUCCCUCGGAUUCCUGAGGCCAAAUGUGGAGGCCCCUCAGUCUCAGACAGUUGAUUUUGGGAGUAGAGCACAGCAGCCUGGGCUUGAUUGUCACUUUGGCAGCUACAGCAUUCACUGCAGCUGUGAACGGUAGCAGUGAAAGCAUACAUCAAUGACUUGCUCCUGACGAGAAUGGGAAUGCUUCUAACAUUUCACAUUCAAGAGAAGGAGCCUUGGAGAAUUCGUUGAAUAAUUGCCCGUAUUUUGGGAUUAUUUGGAAGAGUUAAUAUGGUGAUUCGUUUUCCCUGACCACUUGGGGGAACUGACCCACAAAACUGCCUGCCUUAGAACGGUAGAGGGUGGAUUGAGCUUUAAAUACAUUUUCAGUUUGUGGACGUACCAUUGGUUUUAUCCAUUCACCAAUUGGAAAAAGUAUUGAUUGUCAAUUUCAAAUAAGCUGCUAUAUAUGUUUUUGUGUACGUGAUUUUGUGUGUAUGAACCUGUUUCCAAUUUUCCUUGAUAAAACCUAGGAGUACAAUUGCUGUGUGUAAUGGUAAGUCUAAGUUUUGCUAUAUUAGAAAUAGCCAAAGCCCCUUCUAGAGUGAAUGUGUUCUUUUUCUUCUCUACCAGCAAUGAAAGAGAAUGCCACAUCUUUUGUACAAUUUGGUAUUUUCAGGUUGUUGCAUUGUAUCAAUUGUAACAGGUGGGUAGAAGAAUGUUACUGCUGUUUACAUUUGUAUUUUUAUUGAAUAAUUAUGGUAAUCAUCUUUUCAUAUGCUUUUUUGUGAUCUGUGUAUCUUCAUUGGUGAAGUCUUGAAAUCAUUUACUAUUUUAUUGGACUCUUCAUUUUUAUGUGGUUGCAUGUUAUAAGGUGUUUAUUCAUUCAGUAUAUGAAUCCUUUAUCCGACACGGGGUUUACAAGUAUUUUCUCCCCAUUUUUGGCUUUUUUCCCCAUUCCUUUAAGUGUUUUUUUUUUUUUAGUAAACAUUUUAGAGUAAUUUUAAAUUUACAGAAAAGUUGCGAAGACAGUUAAGAGGGUUUUCCUAUACAUCAUGUCCAGUUUCUCCUAUUAUUAACAUCAUGCAAUAAUAUGAUACAUUCUUCAUAAUUCAUAAAUCAAUAUUCACCUGCACAUUCCUGUCAUUGUUUGAGGAUCCCAUCUAGGAUACCAUGCUACUUUAGUCUAAGCUGUGAUAGUUUCUCAGACUAUUCUUGUUUUUGAUGACUUUAACAGUUUUGGGGAGUAUCGAUCAGGCUAUUUGUGGAAUUACCCUCAUUUGGUAUUUGUCUGAGUUUUUUCAUAUAUAGACUUGAGUAAUGGCUUUGGGGUAGGAGACCAGAGAGGCGAAAUGCCAUUCUCAUUACACGAUAUUUUAGCAACAUGACUCAUCGCUGUUGAUGUUGACUGAUGAACUGGCUGAGGUAGUGUUGUCAGGAUUUCCCUCUGCAAGGUUAUUACAUUCCCCCCUUUCUGUAUUGUGCUUUAUAAAAGAAAGUCACUAAGGGCAGCCAUUGGGUAGUAGGGAAGUAUGGUCCACCUUCUUGGGAAGGGGUAGUAUUGACAUGAAUGAUUUGGGAUUCUUCUCAAUGGGAGAUUUGUUUAUUCUCCCCCAUUAUUUGUAUUUAUUUAACCUUCAAUUUGUCUCGGCUGAACUCAUGGUAAUUUAUUAUAUGUUUGGGGUUAUAAUUCAACACCACUUUUAUUUUGCUGCUCAGAUUGUUCCAUCUUUGUCCAUUGGAAGCUCUUUCAGUUGGCUCUGAUGUCCCCUUCACGUAACUGAGCCAUUACAUUUGUUUGUAGCUCUGUCUUACUUUAUGGUAUGACAAGAUGAUGCAGGCUCAUUUUUAUAUUUCCUGUUCCAGUCAUAGAAGAGUCAAUUUUCCAUGGUUUCUGCUUCCUUUUAUGGGAGAAGAGUAUUGGAAUGUGAGAGGUGGGUGCUUGGCAUGCUCAUUGUUCCUGAGGAUUUGUUAUUCCUAGCCACCUCAAUUCUCAGAGUAAAGAUAUAUAUUUUGGUAUAUUAACCUGUGUAUAUACACAUAUCUAUAAUCAGAAUUCUUAAACCCAGUCCCUGUGAGAAAUAGCUUUAGAAGCCAGACAAUACUGCUUCAGUACAGUUUCUUUUAACUUCGGUCCCAGAGACUAACUUCCACAGGUACUUAGGACAGCACCAUAUCCCCAGAUACUCAUUAGAGGUUGUUUCAUAGAUUUGUAACACAGUUAUAUUGUUUUGUCAUAUUCUAUACUCCACCUUGGCAUUCCUCGACCUCCUAAUUUUUUCAAUUUUGCAUACAUUGAGGUUUACUCUUUGUGCUUUAAGGUUUUAUGCUUUUUGACAAAUGCAUAAUAUAUUCCAUUUUUUGACAGCAUGUCAUCAACCAUGACAUGACAAAAUCAAUCAUUACAGUAGCCUAGAGAAUAGUUUCACCUGUCUAAUAAAUUCCUUCUGCUUAUCCUAGUCAUACCUUUUCCCCACCCCUGAUCCCUGGCCACAACAGGUAUUUUUACUGUCGUUAUAGUCUUGUCUUUCCAGAACGUCAAAUAAAUUGCAUCAUAUACUAUGUAGUCUUUUCGGACUGGCUUCUUUUACUUAGAAUUAAGCAUUUAAGAUUUAUUCAUGUUUUUGUGUGCCUAGAUAAGUAAAUAUUUUGGUUGAUGAAUAGUGUUCUGUUGUUGUUGGACCACAGUUUGUUUAUUCAUCUGUCUCUUGAAGAACAUCUUUGUUGUUUCCAGUUUUGGCCAAUUAUUAAAUAAGCUGCCACACCCAUUCAUAUGCAGGUUUUUUUUGUGGGCAUAAAUUUGCAAAUUAGUUCAAUGUAUACCUAGGAGUGUCAAGAAUUUGUUCAGCUUUGUAAAAAAAUCAACUGACAAACCAUCUUUGAAAGUGGCUGUACUACUUUGCAUUCCCAACAGCAACAAAUGAGAGUUCCUUGUUGCCAGGAAUUGGUAUUGUCAGUAUUUGGAUUUUGGACAUUCUAAUAAGUGUGUAUCUUUGUUAUUUAAUUCAUAAUUCUCUAAUAAAGAAUGACAUUGACUAUGUUGUCUUAUGCUUAUUUUUU